UACGGAGGGUGCAAGCAUUAAUCGGAUUUAUUGGGCGUAAAGGGCGCGUAGACGGGUGCGCAAGUCAGAUGUGAAAUUCCGGGGCUCAACCCCGGAGCUGCAUUUGAAACUGCGUGUCUAUAGAGGGAUGACGGAGAAAAUGGAAUUCCACGUGUAGCGGUGAAAUGCGUAGAUAUGUGGAAGAACACCAGUGGCGAAAGCGGUUUUCUAGUUAUCACCUGACGUUGAGGCGCGAGAGCAAGGGGAGCAAACAGG
rnacentral:rRNA from 1 species